GCCAGCAGCUAUAUCACCCUGCAACUCACAACUGGCAGCCCACUGAAGCUAAGCAGGUGUGAGGCUGGUCAGUACCUGGAUGGGAGACCUCCUGGGAAAAACUAAGGUUGCUGCUGGAA
ensembl:rRNA 5S_rRNA 5S ribosomal RNA